rnacentral:lncRNA from 1 species
ACCAGGUGGACCCAAACCUGGGUCCUCUGCAAGAGCAACAAGUGCUCCUAACUGCUGAGCAGGCUCUAGACCCAUCCUAAUGGACUUUAGUUCAAUGUUUUAUUAUUUGCCUUACUGAAGAUUGAGCGUAAGGCCUUAUGUAGUCCAGGCAAGCAUUCUAGGAUUGAGUUCUGCGUCAGUCCUACAGUCGGUUUUGGGACACUUGGGGGAAUGUAACUAUUGUCAGUUGCAAAGGUCUGCAGUGUCUGCCCCAUGCUGUCAUCAAGUGAACACUCUGGCUUUCUUUCUUAGGAACAUCAUUCACGGCAGUGAUUCAGUGGAGAGUGCCGAGAAAGAGAUCGGUCUAUGGUUUAAGCCCGAAGAACUGAUUGACUAUAAGUCUUGUGCCCAUGACUGGGUGUAUGAGUAGACGCGGAGAAACCAGAGUCCUUUUCAGCACUACUGAUGGGGUUCCUGGACACAGCUCUUCAUCCCACUGACUGGAUGGACCAUCUUUUCUAAAACAAUAAAGACUUUGGAACUGGG